rnacentral:rRNA from 1 species
GACGAACGCUGGCGGCGUGCUUAACACAUGCAAGUCGAACGGUGAAGGGGAGCUUGCUCCCCGGAUCAGUGGCGAACGGGUGAGUAACACGCGGGCAACCUGCCCCAGACUUCGGGAUAACGCUUCGAAAGGAGUGCUAAUACCGGAUACGAACUCCUUGGGCAUCCUUGGGGUUGGAAAGUUUUUCGGUCUGGGAUGGGCCCGCGGCCUAUCAGCUUGUUGGUGAGGUAACGGCUCACCAAGGCGACGACGGGUAGCCGGCCUGUGAGGGCGACCGGCCACACUGGGACUGAGACACGGCCCAGACUCCUACGGGAGGCAGCAGUGGGGAAUAUUGCGCAAUGGGCGAAAGCCUGACGCAGCAACGCCGCGUGAGGGAUGACGGCCUUCGGGUUGUAAACCUCUUUCAGCAGGGAAGAAGCGAAAGUGACGGUACCUGCAGAAGAAGCACCGGCUAACUACGUGCCAGCCGCCGCCGUAACAC